UACGGGAGGCAGCAGUGGGGAAUAUUGCACAAUGGGCGCAAGCCUGAUGCAGCCAUGCCGCGUGUAUGAAGAAGGCCUUCGGGUUGUAAAGUACUUUCAGUCGUGAGGAAGGUGUUAAGGUUAAUAACCUUAGCAAUUGACGUUAGCGACAGAAGAAGCACCGGCUAACUCCGUGCCAGCAGCCGCGGUAAUACGGAGGGUGCGAGCGUUAAUCGGAAUUACUGGGCGUAAAGGGCACGCAGGCGGUUAAUUAAGUUGGAUGUGAAAUCCCCGGGCUUAACCUGGGAAUGACAUUCAAGACUGGUUAGCUAGAGUCUUGUAGAGGGGGUAGAAUUCCAUGUGUAGCGGUGAAAUGCGUAGAGAUGUGAGGAAUACCGGUGGCGAAGGCGGCCCCUGGACAAAGACUGACGCUCAUGUGCGAAAGCGUGGGGAGCAAACAGGGAUUAGAUACC
rnacentral:rRNA from 1 species